ensembl:lincRNA
AAGACAUUUGGAAGAAGGGUUGUGAUGUAGGGAAAGAUCUGUAGCAUAGAAGGAAAGAGAGACAAGACCACUUGAACUAUGUCCUUUCUCUUAUCUAAAAUCUGGGGAGCCAAAGAUAGAGAUUAUAUAUUCAUCAGCAAUAGUCAUUUAAAGGAUGGAAUGAGUGUGUGCCUGGUAAGACAGGCUUGCUUCAGAUUCUAGAGAGUAGACAGUGGAGAGAAGUGUUUGAUAAAUGUUUUGGGGAUAAUAAGUAAUAGCAGAACAAGCACAAAACCAGCUAAUUGACUUGUGCUUUGACAAGUGAUUCGAGUGCAUUUGGUAGGGAAAGACUGAGCUCAAGUUCAACUCUCUUGUCCUUUUGCCUCUGAGGACAGCUGCUGUGCACAAGAGAGCCAGAUCCCAUGAUGACAGUGCUGGAGAGCAUCAAGGCUGUGGCCCUUUCUGUGUGGAGUGAGCCCCACCCCAUGUGCUCACGAACUUGCUUCUCAGCUGGUGGAGCAGAUGUCAAGUAAAUUUAAAGCUAUCUGUUGAUUGACCCAGGAAUUGAAAUGUUUGCCCCUUCCUCACACUGUUCAACUAAAAGAUUGUGUUUUCACAGAUGAUGACUGGGGAUCUCCUCUAGUGUAGACAAGCCAUGUGACUUCGCAUGAUCUAUUCAAACUCUCAGAGAACUUCAACUGAACAAAUCUCUGUCAGGGGCUUUCUUGCAACCAAUUCAGAUACAAGACGCACCUCCAUUCCUGGUUCACUAUGCAGAAGUCAUAGGUGUCAUAACUCCUGUGGUAGUUACGCCUGAAUCUAAUGUCAUCCAAGUUGUCUUCCUUCCUAAAUUUAAGUAUUACUGAUAACUUAUAAAUUUGGCUAUUAGAUAAU